rnacentral:lncRNA from 1 species
UCCAUCUUUCAUUAAACAAAAAAAAAACGUAAGAAAAAUCGACCUCAGUUUUUCAUAUCUCUGCGUUGAGGUGUUCUCGGUUUCUUCCAAGGUAUGUUUUAAGCAACUAUACUCUGAUUCUGCAUCUUGCUUUCUUCCAUCCGUGAAAAAAAAAACAAACCCCCAAAUCACAAUUCCAUCAACUCUGUUUUCUUUCAGCUUCCUUGUUCUUGCGUUCAGGUACCCAACGAUCAACCCUUCAUGUAGCAUCGUCUUUAAUCCCCCUGUUACUGUUACAGAUAUAUCAACUUUGACUGAUUCACGUUUCAUUACUAGUUAUUGAAUAAAUCUUCCGGAAAGGGAGGAGUAGGAUUAGCUUUUACUGGUACGUGAUUUUUAGCUUUUGUUCAGCUCAAUACAUAUACCAACUAGCUUUCAAUAAAGUAUCAAAGACUAUUUUUGAUCAGUAAAUUAGGGUACCUGUUUGUCUAGUAGUACCAAUUUCAACAGUUACAUCCUUCAUCCUCCACCUUCAAUCUCUUGAUUACAAGCUAAUAGAGAAACACCAGUGGCUGAAUCUUUUUAGGGGCAUGCCAUUCUUAGAAAAACUGAAACAAAAAAAAACAAUUGACAUAGCACUUGCCGCCUUCGGUUAUUACAAUACACAUAAAAUCACCCCCAAUCGCUCUCGUCCCCAUCCAUUCCCCGCAUCGCCAAUUCCUAAGCUUCAUCUGCGAUUUCAAUUUGCCCUCAAUUUGGAUUCAACAUCUUUCACUGUCAAUCAUGGACGCUGAAUCGUGGUUGUUGUCUAUCUUCUACAUCCAAGUGUUACCAAUAUGUUCUUCAAUCCCAAUCGUCUGGUAAGAUUUAAUUUAGGGUUUCUUGUAAAAGAUCACAACGCCAAAUCUCACAGGAUGUAAGCUUUGACGUUGUGUUCUGGAUAUUCUCUGCUGGAGCGACGUCUUCAUUACGUUCUCUAAUCGUCUCGAUCCAUCAUAGUGCCUUUCUCCGCCGGAUCGGACCUAACUCUAUGUUGUUGAUAAACUAGGCACAAAAGAAAAGUAAAAAUUGGACCAUUACCAAUUGUAUCUUAUAGUUAUGUUUGUUAUCUCUGAUAAAAUUCAUUUACUUGUUUUAAUAUUCUCCCAAUACGUUUUUAAUAUUUUCCUAAUAAAACUCAUAUACUAUUUGAUAAUUAAUUAAUACUUAAAAAGCUUAUUUGGUUAUUAGAUAGCGUAUUAAGUAGGGGUGAGCAAAAACCGAACCGCAAACCAAAAAAACCGAAAAAACCGCAUAAACCGAAACCGAAAUUGAAACCGAUGGUGCGGUUUUUAGUUUUGCAAAAACCGAAAAUACUCGGUGCGGUGCGGUUUCUAGUCUCUUAAAAACCGCAAAAAACCGAACCGCACCGCAUAUAUAUAUAUAUAUANGAACUUAUGACAAUUAAAAUUUCUAUAAUAUAAAUAUCUAUCUUAUCUAUCGAAUGAUGAUUGUAUAUUUUUAAGCAUACAUUCAAUGGUAUUUACAAUAACAAAUAAUGUUUAUGACAUUUUUUAAUAUUUAAAUAUGAAGAGUACAAUAUCAUUUUUAUGAAUAUAUUAAUUGAUAUUAUUGUAUGUUUUAUGAAACAAAUAUUAUAUUAAAUUCGUAUUAUAUUCAAUCAUUACAAACAUGUUGGAUGAGUGGUUAUGUAAUUUGAUUUCAAACAAAGAGGUGGUGGUAUCGGUUUAUCUCCAAAAAAUGAUUAGCACUCCUCAUCUGAGUCAAAUUAACUUGCAGAGUUACUUGAGUUUUAGUAAAAAUGCAAAACGAAAACCAAAAAAAAAACUAACAAAAAACCGCAAAAAAAACCGAACCGCAAAAACCGAACCGCAUAAAACCGAACGGUGCGGUUUCUAAAUUUGAAAAAACCGAAGUUGCGGUUUUCGGUUCGGUUUUGGCCAAAAACCGCAUCAAACCGCACCAUGCUCACCCCUAGUAUUAAGCAUUCUUGAGAAUAGUUUUCAUAUAUAAAAUCAUUAUUUAUUUAUUUUGUUAAAAUUGUAAAUUUAGUUAUAUAAAUAAUAACUUAUUAAUAUAAUGUAAAAACCGGGUGCUAUAAGUUAUGUUAAAAAUCCUACAAAAUAUACCUAAUAUCGUGUCAAUUUUUUAAACUAUUAUUAUUAUUUUAUUAUAAAUUAAAUUGCAUAUUCGUUUUUACUUUUGUUAUUUGAAUUUGGUUAUAAAUUAUUUUUGUUUUUGUUUUUAUCUUACAGGUAGUUAGCCUUCAACAAACUUUAUAGCGAGCUUCUUCAAGUUCUUUUCUCUAGCUGCAUGGUAUAGUUACUUCCCCAUAGUUAAAAAAAAAUAUUGUUGGUUUAUUUUAAAUACUUAAUUUGUUAAUAAAUGUUCAAAUAUGAAACAAGUUAUUUAAAAAAUAGACUAGGAGUGUUAACUUACAACCAUAUUUUUUAUAUAUUUAUUGUGUAUGUAUCUUAGUACUAACUAAAUUUCUUGAGUUAUAUAUGAAUCGUGAUACUUGGAUGUAUGGAUUACAACGUCAUGACAAAGAAUACUUAACUAGGUUGAAGGAUUUUCUUAAAGUUGCUGAGGGACAUCGAGUAAAAAAAGGAGAAAGACAAAUUUGGUGUCCUUGUAAAAAGUGUCAAAAUUGUAAAAAUUUUACCGAUUC